CUCUUCUCUUCUUGAGAUUCAUACAGAAGCUAAUUUAAGCUUCUAAAAAAAUGACAUUUUUAUUUUUUCUUCCAAAUAGUCUGCUCUGUACGUGGCACUGGAUGCACCAUUUGACUAUACUAUAUCAGACAUGCCCUACUUGCGUAAAUGGUGGUGCUUGCUGUUGAUGGACUUUGAUCUCAGGAGGUAUUUAUAUUUUGACUUCUGUUCUAUGUUGUGUCAAAGUUUACACACCUUAACAAUAUCAAAAUUUUCUGUUAAGCUCUGGCAAGCUAUUUGCACACUGGAGAGAGGAAGCCAAAGCUGUGCUUGAAGAACAACACGUGCCCAUUUUCAGACUGAAAAAGCGCAAGUUCCAGGAAGUCAGUCAGGAGCCAGCAGUUGUUGAAGAUCUGCUUCCUGCUGUGCAGUGG